UGGGGAAUAUUGGACAAUGGGCGCAAGCCUGAUCCAGCCAUGCCGCGUGAGUGAUGAAGGCCCUAGGGUUGUAAAGCUCUUUCAGCGGGGAAGAUAAUGACGGUACCCGCAGAAGAAGCCCCGGCCAACUCCGUGCCAGCAGCCGCGGUAAGACGGAGGGGGCUAGCGUUGUUCGGAAUCACUGGGCGUAAAGCGCGCGUAGGCGGCUUUUCAAGUUGGAUGUGAAAGCCCGGGGCUCAACCUCGGAACUGCACUCAAUACUGGAUUGCUGGAGUCCGGGAGAGGUGAGUGGAACUCCCAGUGUAGAGGUGAAAUUCGUAGAUAUUGGGAAGAACACCAGCGGCGAAGGCGGCUCACUGGACCGGUACUGACGCUGAGGCGCGAGAGCGUGGGGAGCAAACAGGAUUAGAUACCCCCGUAGUCC
rnacentral:rRNA from 1 species